rnacentral:lncRNA from 1 species
GGGUGAAUGUCCAGGUAGGGGGGGAACAGUUUCUGCCCUGCAUACUCAUGUGACCCUUCCUUCCUUCUACUUCACAUGCUGUUGUUUCCUUUCCUUACUGUCUGCCCAGUGCAUGCUUUCUAGAUAGAAGGCCCUCAUGAUUGUGGAAACAACGGACCCUAGUAUUGCCUAGAUUCUGUCCACCUCUCCUUCCUCUCACUGCUCUGCUUCCUGCUGACUAGCCUGUUCUGCCCAGAGGAACUGGCUGCCCUGGCAGAUGAGGACCUGCUUGACUUCCUCAUGAAGGAUGAUGCUCCCUGCCUUGAAAUCCCAGGGGAGGAGAACGGUCUGCUGAAAGACUGGGGCCUGCCAGAGCCUGAGCUCCUGAACAAGGAGAUGGGUGACUUCAUCAGUACCUUACUGAGCCCCUUUGAAGAUGAACCAGGCAUGCUGCAGGGUUAUUCGCCUGCUGACAGCGACAGCAGCAUUUCUGAGGAUCAGAAUCUGUUCCAUAGCCCUGGCAGUGACUUCACCAGAAACUUUUGCCAGUGAGUCUGACUUCCCAGAGCUGAUCCUGACAGAGUAGAAAAGGCAGCUCCCAGAGAAAGAAGGUGUUUCAUUACCAACCUGUCUGCCACUGACCAAAGUGAGUCCUCGCUACAGCCUGUCACACCUAAACAGACUUGGACCACUCAAACCUUUCAGCUAGAGUAGGGGUUGAAAAUGUAGGAUGGUGUCUUGGUGAGAGCAUUAGUACCCAGGUGCUGCGUUCAGGGCAGCAGCUGUGCUGUGCUGCUGCUGGGGUCUUGCCACCCUGGGCAGAAAGUGAGGCUGACCCCGUGGUCUUUUCAAGAGGCUCAGAAGCUCAGGGCAU